GACGAACCGUGCGAACGUUAUUCGGAAUCAUUGGGCUUAAAGGGCGCGUAGGCGGCGCGGUAAGUCACUUGUGAAAUCUCUGAGCUUAACUCAGAACGGCCAAGUGAUACUGCAGUGCUAGAGUGCAGAAGGGGCAAUCGGAAUUCUUGGUGUAGCGGUGAAAUGCGUAGAUAUCAAGAGGAACACCUGAGGUGAAGACGGGUUGCUAGGCUGACACUGACGCUGAGGCGCGAAAGCCAGGGGAGCGAACGGG
rnacentral:rRNA from 1 species